UACAGGGGGUGCAAACGUUGCUCGGAAUCAUUGGGCGUAAAGCGCACGUAGGCGGUUCGUUAUGUCGGAUGUGAAAGCCCUUGGCUUAACCGAGGAAGUGCAUCCGAAACUGGCGAGCUAGAGUACUAAAGAGGAUCGCGGAAUUCCCGGUGUAGAGGUGAAAUUCGUAGAUAUCGGGAGGAGCACCGGUGGCGAAGGCGGCGAUCUGGGUAGAUACUGACGCUGAGGUGCGAAAGCGUGGGGAGCAAACAGG
rnacentral:rRNA from 1 species